CUGCUGCGAACAUUCUUGCAUAUGCUUUUGGUGAAUACAGGUACACAUUUCUGUUGGGUAUACAACUAGGAAU